UACAGAGGGUGCAAGCGUUAAUCGGAAUUACUGGGCGUAAAGCGUGCGUAGACGGUUGUGUAAGUCAGAUGUGAAAGCCCCGGGCUCAACCUGGGAAUUGCAUUUGAGACUGCGUAGCUAGGGUGCGGAAGAGGGAAGCGGAAUUUCCGGUGUAGCGGUGAAAUGCGUAGAUAUCGGAAGGAACACCAGUGGCGAAAGCGGCUUCCUGGUCCAGCACCGACGUUCAGGCACGAAAGCGUGGGGAGCAAACAGG
rnacentral:rRNA from 1 species